CACGUAGGGUGCGAGCGUUUGUCCGGAAUUAUUGGGCGUAAAGAGCUCGUAGGCGGUGUGUCGCGUCGGCCGUGAAAACCUGCAGCUUAACUGUGGGCGUGCGGUCGAUACGGGCAUCACUGGAGUUCGGCAGGGGAGACUGGAAUUCCUGGUGUAGCGGUGAAAUGCGCAGAUAUCAGGAGGAACACCGGUGGCGAAGGCGGGGUCUCUGGGGCCGAUACUGACGCUGAGGAGCGAAAAGCGUGGGGGAGCGAACAGG
rnacentral:rRNA from 1 species